GGAGUAAUGCGUGACCAACCUGCCCCAUGCUCCAGAAUAGCUCUUGGAAACGGGUGGUAAUGCUGGAUGCUCCAACUUGACGCAUGUCUUGUUGGGAAAGUGUUUAGUGGCAUGGGAUGGGGUCGCGUCCUAUCAGCUUGUAGGCGGGGUAAUGGCCCACCUAGGCUUCGACGGGUAGCCGGCCUGAGAGGGCGGACGGCCACAUUGGGACUGAGAUACGGCCCAGACUCCUACGGGAGGCAGCAG
rnacentral:rRNA from 1 species